UCCAACUCUGAACCAUUUCUUACAUAAAGGGGAGAGGGCGGGGGGAAACCGCGAAACUCUUUGAUUUUCAUCCCCUAGGUGGAUCGUCCAUCUUAUAUUGUAUUUAGUAUCUCAAACCUUUUCUAUUCCUUUUCUCUUUGAUGAUCCUCAGACGAGACUGUUGUGUGAUGACACUCAACCUCAACGGUAGAUGAAAAUAAGCUUAGUCAUAGAUUUGGCAAAUUCUCUUUCUAGCUCUAUCCCAUUGCUUAUUUGAAUUUUUUUUUUAAAAGAGUAGCCUGGUGCACUAUGGCUCCCGCUAUACGUGGGGUCCAUGGAAGAGCCCAACCACAAGGGUCUAUUGUACGCAGUCUUACCUUGGCAUGCAUUGUAAGUGGCUGUUCUCAAGGCUUGAACCCGUGACUUCCUGGUCACAUUGGAGCAACUUUACCAGUUAUUUCAAGGCUUCCUUUCACUUAUUUGAAAAAGUUAAUCACGAAUAAACUAAAAUAACCCGUGAAGGAACUAAUCAUAGGUGACACAGUUUUGAACUUCUUUCUUUGUCUUGGUGACUAUGGAAUCACAGGGUACGCAGAGUUGGAAUCAUAGGACACCAUGGCAAAAAACACAUGUCACUCUGGAUCUUCCCGUUUCCUCCUCCUGCUAACAACUUUCUCAGCCCAAAACACAUAUUUAUUAAUGUGGACAUGAUGUAGAUUUCAUCGCUUAUACUCGAAGGAAAUCUUUUAGUCCAUAUAUUUUAGUACAGACGAAUAUAGAUAUAUACAUAAAAAGACAUAUGUCCAGCAUAGAUUUCCCAGUCCUCCUUCUUUCUCUUCUUCUCAAUUUGUAAUGACUAUUCACUAGGUGUUAUCACGGACAAGAAAAGAUGGAAUACAGGUUACACGAAAGAGAAAAUCAACAGAAGAGGUUUGAGAUACUGUAUAAUGGACGAUCCACCAAGGGGAUAAAAAUGAAAGAGUUUCAUCUUCAACAGGUCUCACACCUUUCAGCCUGGAUUCCAUUUUUUAGGACUUGAAAUCUCCUACAAAAGUACACAAAGAGAAAUGGUGGAAAUAACAAGAGCAAGCGAAAAUAACAAGAGGGAAAAAAGAAGAAGUGGUUAAUAGUUGAAUGUAUGCAACCCGCUAAACAACAAGAUUACAUGAAUCUUGACUACAAUUAAAAUGAGUUAGUGGCAUGAUGGUCACUCAACUAAUGGAAAAUGGUCAUUAUAGUACUUCAAAUUUACCUAGUUAGCAUCAAUGAUUAUUUUAGUUGAAAAUACAAUUUUUUGUACCUACUUAAUGAAGAGACAACUAUAAAUUUUUAGGAAAAAAAGGAGGCUCAUUGUGUAAAGAAGGUAAGAAGCUAGUAUUCCAGGCACACAGAAUAUCAACCUACAUUUAUUAUAGGAAAAAUAUUAAAUCUCAGUAAAAUAUGAAUAGAUUAAG
rnacentral:lncRNA from 1 species